GAGUCAAAAUGGAAACUUGGGUGCGUAAUCUCGUACCCAUUUGAUCCGUAACAUAUUGAAAGCAUUGUUAUUAUACAAGAGAGAGCAGUGGCAAGGACAGAAAGCACACAAGAUGUAUUCAACGUAGUAGCAAUGGAAGAAGAGUGGCUAAAUGGUGAUGGCCUCAUACCAAGAUGCUGUAGAAGCCCUCGUUAUUGCCGCAAACCUCAAUAUUGGCCCUAGUGCGGAAGGUCCCACAAGUAAGGAAGGGCUUCAAAAGGAUCUGCAUGAGAUUAUUUGACACGAGCUCCUCCAUGAGAGAAAGACUCAUAGAGGAGGAGAUGGAGAGAGAAGUGAAGAUAGUAAUGAGAAUGGAUGAGGAAGGAAAAAUCAAAGGAUAGCAAUAUUGAGGA
rnacentral:lncRNA from 1 species